UUAAUUGAAGAGUUUGAUCAUGGCUCAGAUUGAACGCUGGCGGCAGGCUUAACACAUGCAAGUCGAGCGGUAGCACAGGGGAGCUUGCUCCCUGGGUGACGAGCGGCGGACGGGUGAGUAAUGUCUGGGAAACUGCCUGAUGGAGGGGGAUAACUACUGGAAACGGUAGCUAAUACCGCAUAACGUCGCAAGACCAAAGAGGGGGACCUUCGGGCCUCUUGCCAUCAGAUG
rnacentral:rRNA from 1 species